UCCUUAAGACUCACCAUCCCAGUAGGAAGAAGGCUGAGUGUUCCCAAACCCAGGAUGAGUGCUGAGGACAGGGAUUCCUGGAGCAGGAUUUGGGGUGCAGGAUGGAGAGGAACACCUGUAAUGGGUUCUAAGGGCAGGGAAUCAGGAUUUGGGGUGCAGGAUGGGCAGCACCUGCAGGGGCUGUGAGGGCAGGAAUUCCUAAAGCAGGAUUUGGGGUGCAGGAUGGGCAGCACCUGCAGGGGCUGGGGGGCUGUGGGCUGCAGCAGAGGGUGUAGAACACUGUGCACAGUGUGAUGUGUAGGACAGCAGAGCUUCCCAUGGGUGUUGUGUCUUUCUUGUAACCACAUGAAUUCCAUUUUUCAAGAAGAAAAGGUGUUUCCAUACUUGGGUUGGGGUUUAUUUCAUUUGGGCUGGAGCAGCUUUUUGGGGCAGCUGGGGUUGGUUCUGAGUCUGGCUGUGCUGCUGCUCCUGCUCUGUGUGUGUGGCACCACUCCACAAACAGAUCAAAGCUUGCCAGAGAAAAAACAAAAAAAAGGAAUUUAAUUGUAAAAAUGCUGGAAAUGAUUUUGAUGACCUCUUUCUUUUUUUCCUUUGUAAAGCUGUAAAUACUUUAUUUUUAUUUUCUAUUCUUACUGUGGUGUCAUAUUGACACCUUUUUAGAUUUACAAUCAGAAAAUCCUCCUCAUUGUUUCUCAUUUUUUAAAAGGGGAUUUCAAGGAAGCAAAUUUUUUUGCUUGUUAGCAGUGUAAUAAUAGAUCAAAUUCCUAAACUGGGUUUGUACAAAAACGUUUUCAGUAAACAAAAUAGCAGUUUGUGGAUGCAUGUUGUUCAAAAAUGUCCAAAGAAUAAUGUGGUACAAAUGUUUUAAAGAAUAAUGUGGUACAAACAUGUUUUUCAAAGACUUAGUGAUGAUCAUCUUAGUUCACACGAGGAAAAAAGCAAAAUUCUUUAAAAAAAAAAAGUGUUUGGGGGGGAAUGUAAUGAAACUCAUCUAAGCUAAAUGUGUAAUCUAUUUAUAAAAACACACUAUAUAUUCUAUUUUUUAAGAGGUUUUUAAAGUGCAAACAGAUUUCUGUUGGCAGAUGCAAUCAUUCCCUUGUAAAGUCUGUUCUGCUCUCAUGGGACCCCCAAAUUCUCUGAUGGUUCCAAGAGUCAGUGUGGAAAUCAUCAGGACAGGUUUGGCUGUGGAGCACUCACAGGUCACUUCCUCCAGGGGAGGCUGCAGCUUCUGCAGAAUUGCUGUGAUUUUAUUCCUUCCCUGUGAUUUUAUUCCUUGCCUGUGAUUUUAUUCCCUUCCCCUGCUCCUGGAGAGGGUCAGGAUCUCCUGAACCCCAGGACACAGCAGGACAGGGGUUAAACUCUGCCUCAGCCUGCAGGGUAAAUGACAUUUGUCUGUACCUGCAGAAAUGGGGAUUAACUCCACAGAACAAAACAACAGAUGGGAAUCAUGCCUGAAUAUGCAUCCAGAGCUGCUUCUAAAGUGUGAUUAUAUGAAUUUUCUUUUCCAUGAUCACCCCUGCCAGCACAAACACGAGCUGGCUGAGGAACAGCCUGGCUGCUCCCAGAGCUGCUCCUGGUGUUUCCCUUGGCUCUGGGAACAUGGGAAGGAUGUUUGUGCUGGAAGAGCUGCACUGCUGGGAGGUUUCACUUUGGAGUGCUUCAUUUUAGAGCUGAAUGUUUAAGGAAUGAUUUAUUCCAGCUGAAUUAAGACAUCCCAGUGCUUCCACAGAGCAGGAAUUUCCCUUUGGUUUCAGGAUUUCUGGGUUUUUAUCCUUCUGCACAGACCCAGGGCUCAGCUCACACAGCUUGUGAAACUCUUUGCCUUGGUGUUGCCUUGAUUUUAAGCUUUGCAGUGGGAUGUGACUUGUGUCCCUUGGAGUUUUAACUGAGAAACAAAAUCACCAACAAGGUGAGGUGAGCUGGAAGCACUGCCUGCCAAAUUCUCCGUGGGAAUGGGAUCCAGCCCCUCUCCCUGCACAGGAACACUCAGGGCUUGGCCAGGCCCUUGGCAGAGCAGCACUUGACCCUUCCCUUGUUUUCCUGUGAGUUUGACAUCCUCAGACCCUUCUGCCUUUGCAGGAGCCUUUCAAAGCUUCUCUUUUGAAGGAGCAGCAAACUGUGUUUAAAUGUGGGUGUUGGAUUGCAGAAAUCACCAUUCCCCCUAAUCUGAGGCACUCCAGCAGUGAAGCACUUGGGAACAGGGUGCUUGUGGGUCUGGCCAGCUCCUUUCUUUGGGAAAUUACGAUGUUAGUGCUUGAAACAAGCCCUGGGGUGGCUUCAGACCGGGCUCAUCUCUGUGGUGCCACAAACCCAGUGGAGCUGCCACCCCAAAACCCCAAAUUUCUGUUUUAUUGGAGAGGCCCUGAGGGCAGUUCAGCCUCUGUCAUGGAACACCCUCCUUUGUGUAACGUGGUUUCACCAAAAAUCUCACAGUCCGGUCCCUAAAAGCCCCUCCUGUGGUUAAAGUAACUGUAGCGACCUUCUGCCAAAAAUGAUUAUUUAUUAUUUAUGGUGUUGGAGUGGAGGGUAUUGAUGGCUCUUCCCUCCUGCUGUGUCACUUCUUGUCAGUCCUUUAGGUCAUGUAAGAGUUUCUUUUAUCCCCACGACAAGGAACUGCUGAUGGUGUGGGAACACCCCUGGUUACCGUCCCCGUGUAAAUACUGUGCUUUAUAUUCUGUAUAUUAGCUAAUUUUAAUGAAAACGACUGGACUGAUGAUGGUGUUGGAGCCCAGCUGGGCAGGGCUGGAAUUCUGUGCUGGGAGCCCGCAGCAAUGGGACACCACCGGUGCAUUUGGGACUGUGAAAAGCUCCGAGAAUCCAACCCAGGAGCCCUGAGAACUCCCAGAGCCAGAGCCUGCCCUCCUCUGAACUCGGUGGAUUUGCAACAAUUUCCCUUUUUUUAGUGCCAAAACCGACCCCACCUCCCCCUGGCAGCUGUGCUGGGGCUCUCAGUGCUGCUGUGGGGUCCAGCCCUGCCCGGCCCCGUCCGUCCCUCCGUCCUGCCCGACCCAGGGCCAGCAGCUGCCCACAAAACAGGUCCCAGUCCGUCUCUGGUGAUGAGGAAAACCACAAAAAAACUACCAAAUAAAUACCAAACUCCUGGUUGAA